rnacentral:rRNA from 1 species
GACGAACGCUGGCGGCGUGCUUAACACAUGCAAGUCGAACGGAAAGGCCCUGCUUUUGUGGGGUGCUCGAGUGGCGAACGGGUGAGUAACACGUGAGUAACCUGCCCUUAACUUUGGGAUAACUUCAGGAAACUGGGGCUAAUACCGGAUAGGAGCUCCUGCUGCAUGGGGGGGGUUGGAAAGUUUCGGCGGUUGGGGAUGGACUCGCGGCUUAUCAGCUUGUUGGUGGGGUAGUGGCUUACCAAGGCUUUGACGGGUAGCCGGCCUGAGAGGGUGACCGGCCACAUUGGGACUGAGAUACGGCCCAGACUCCUACGGGAGGCAGCAGUGGGGAAUAUUGCACAAUGGGCGGAAGCCUGAUGCAGAAACGCCUCGUGCGGGAUGACGGCCUUCGGGUUGUAAACCGCUUUCGCCUGUGACGAAGCGUGAGUGACGGUAAUGGGUAAAGAAGCCCCGGCUAACUACGUG